rnacentral:rRNA from 1 species
AGCCAUGCAUGUCUAAGUAUAAACCGCUUCGACGGUGAAACUGCGAAUGGCUCAUUAAAUCAGUUAUAGUUUAUUUGAUAGUCCCUUUUACUACUCGGAUAACCGUAGUAAAUCUAGAGCUAAUACGUGCGGAAAGGGUCGACUGGGGGAGGGCGACCUCCUUCGGAAGGCUCGUAUUUAUUAGAUACCCAAACCGAUACGGGGCAUCCCAAACCGGCGAGGCCCGGAAGAGGAGGGAAAUCCUUUUCCCUUCCCUUCCGUCUCGUCGGGCCCCGGUUCUCGAUCGGUGAUUCACGAUAACUUCGCGAAUCGCACGGCCUCGGCGCCGGCGAUGAUUCAUUCGAAUUUCUGCCCUAUCAACUUUCGAUGGUAAGAUAGAGGCUUACCAUGGUGAUAACGGGUGACGGAGAAUUAGGGUUCGAUUCCGGAGAGGGAGCCUGAGAAACGGCUACCACUUCUAAGGAAGGCAGCAGGCGCGCAAAUUACCCAAUCCCGACGCGGGGAGGUAGUGACAAUAAAUACCGAUACGGGUCUCCUAGCGAGACUCGUAAUCGGAAUGAGAACGAUUCAAACCCCUUAACGAGGAACGAUUGGAGGGCAAGUCUGGUGCCAGCAGCCGCGGUAAUUCCAGCUCCAAUAGCGUAUAUUAAAGUUGUUGCAGUUAAAAAGCUCGUAGUUGAACUUUGGAACGGGGGGAGGGGUUUUUUCGAUCCGGAGGACAAGGAAAAGGGUUUCCCCCUUUUCCCCCUUCGGGCGCCCUCCCUCGUGCGGCGCCGGUCCGCCCCGAAGGGGCGAGCACUGGCCCGCGCGUUCCCUCCUACCGGACGCUCGCUCCUGCUCUUCGUUGAGUGGGAGUAUUCCUCCGAGGAGCUUCCCUUUCGAGACCUCGGUUUCGAAACAGGCUCGGGGGUUUCGGCCUCCCUCGCUCGGGGAUUUGCGAGGGCCGAGGGAGUUUCUAAACGCUCCUCCUUUUCGGAGGGGGGGUUUUUUUUUCUCCGUUUCUUCGGUUCUCGUAGAGCUCCGGUUCGUUUACCUUGAAUAAAUUAGAGUGUUCAAAGCGGGCAAGCGCACGCCUAGAUAUUUUAGCAUGGGAUAAUAGAAUAGGACUUGGGUUCUAUUUUCGUUGGUUCAUUAGGACCGAAGUAAUGAUUGAUAGGGACGGUCGGGGGCAUUAGUAUUUAAUUGUCAGAGGUGAAAUUCUCGGAUUUAGGAAAGACUGACUUCAGCGAAAGCAUUUGCCAAGGACGUUUUCAUUAAUCAAGAACGAAAGUUAGGGGAUCGAAGACGAUCAGAUACCGUCGUAGUCUUAACCAUAAACGAUGCCGACCAGGGAUCGGGAGACGUUACCUCGACGACUCUCCCGGCACCUUGCGGGAAACCACAAGUCUUUGGGUUCCGGGGGGAGUAUGGUCGCAAGGCUGAAACUAAAGGAAUUGACGGAAGGGCACCACCAGGAGUGGAGCCUGCGGCUUAAUUUGACUCAACACGGGGAAACUUACCAGGUCCGGACAUAGGAAGGAUUGACAGAUCGAUAGCUCUUUCUUGAUUCUAUGGGUGGUGGUGCAUGGCCGUUCUUAGUUGGUGGAGCGAUUUGUCUGGUUAAUUCCGUUAACGAACGAGACCUCGGCCUGCUAAAUAGCCAUGCGAACCCUUCCGCCCCAAAGAGGUUCGCGGUCGGGGGGGAGUCGCGUCCCGUCCUUCUCCCCUUCGCGGGGGAGGGGGGCGGGGCGCCCUCUCGGUCGCCCUCUGGUGGGGUUCGUAGCGGCGCUUCUUAGAGGGACUAUGCAAUCCCAGUGCAUGGAAGUUCGAGGCAAUAACAGGUCUGUGAUGCCCUUUAGAUGUUCUGGGCCGCACGCGCGCUACACUGACGAGCUCAACGAGCGUCUCUUCGCCUAGGCCGGAAGGUCCGGGCAAUCUUACAAAGCUCGUCGUGCUGGGGAUAGAUCCUUGCAAUUCUGGAUCUUCAACGAGGAAUUCCUAGUAAGCGCGAGUCAUCAGCUCGCGUUGAUUACGUCCCUGCCCUUUGUACACACCGCCCGUCGCUCCUACCGAUUGAACGGUCCGGUGAAGUCUUCGGAGCGAGGCUCAAGCUCGGUCGGGGCGACUCGACCGGGUAGGGUCUCUCGAAGUCGACUGAACCUUAUCG